GUAGUCUUUUGCAUUUAUUUAAAAUGCCAAAAGUAUUAAGGAAAUGGUUUCCUUCAUUGCUUAUUUGUUUUCAAGAAUUAUCCGAAGAGUUGAACUUUUCUUGAGGCCAUUUUGGGUUCAUUGAUUAGAAUAAGUUUAUAAUUCCUUUGAAUUUGAGAAGUGGCUAGGGUUUUUGAGUUUCCCUUCACCACUUACUUUGAUCUUGUUGC
rnacentral:lncRNA from 1 species